rnacentral:rRNA from 1 species
UAGCUCUGGGAAACUGGGAUUAAUACCGCAUACGCCCUACGGGGGAAAGAAUUUUCGGGGACGGAUGAUCCCGCGUUGGAUUACCUAGUUGGUGGGGUAAAGGCCUACCAAGGCGACUAUCCAUAGGUGGUCUGAGAGGAUGAUCAGCCACAUUGGGACUGAUACACGGCCCAAACUCCUACGGGAGGCAGCGAUGGGGAAUAUUACCAAUGGGCGCAAGCCUGAUCCGGCCUUGCCGCGUGGGGCUCAAGGCCGAAGGGUUGUAAACCUCUUUCCCGGUGAAGAUUAUGACGGUAACCGGAUAAGAAGCCCCGGGAAACUUCGGCCAUCAGCCCCGGUAAUACGAAGGGGGCUAGCGUUGUCGGAAUUACUGGGCGUAAACCGCACGUGGCGGAAUAUUAAGUCAGGGGGGAAAAUCCCAAAGCUACAACUCUGGAACUGCCUUUUAUACUGGGUAUUCUUGAGUAUGGAAAAAGGUAAGGGGAAUUGGGGGUGUAGAGGUGAAAUUCGUAAAUGUUGGGAGGAACACCA